UACAGAGGGUGCAAGCGUUAAUCGGAAUUACUGGGCGUAAAGCGUGCGUAGACGGUUAAGUAAGUCGGAUGUGAAAGCCCCGGGCUCAACCCGGGAAUUGCAUUCGAGACUGCAUAGCUAGGGUGCGGAAGAGGGAAGCGGAAUUUCCGGGUGUAGCGGUGAAAUGCGUAGAUAUCGGAAGGAACAUCAGUGGCGAAAGCGGCUUCCUGGUCCAGCACCGACGUUCAGGCACGAAAGCGUGGGGAGCAAACAG
rnacentral:rRNA from 1 species